CGUUGACCCCGUUGUGUGAUUACCUCUGUGUAUUCGGUCAUCAAAAAAAGAUUAUGUGUCGGAGAAAACAAACUUCAAAAGGGAUAUUUGUGAUGUGGAAGGGGAAAUGAACGAACACGGAUACAUUUUGUAGCUUUUGGUUCCAAGCCUGUAAACUGAGCCAAGCAAAAUAGAUAUGUGAUGGAGGAGACUGGUGAUUACAAACUAAUCAAAAGAAGAAUAUGUCAUAUCUUGGAUAAAAGUGGUUACCUUCAACAACUAGAUAUAUUGGUUACAGUUAAAUUAAAUAUUGUUGUUAAGAAGAUUUUCCCUAUUCAUCUUAGAGGAACAGAAACAUGUUUGGAUGGAACAUGUGCUUAAACUUUGCAUAAGUUUUGUUGAAACUUCCAUUUGAUACUGAAGAUGGUUGUUGAAUAUUGUUUGUUAACAAUAUCUAUAUGGCUUUAAAGAGAGAUGUUGACAGGUGCAAUUUUAGUGCAAAAAGUGCAUGUGUAACAUGUUGAAUGAACAAACAAUAGUAUGCAGUAAAACACCAGGAAUCAUUAUGUUUUCAUAACAUUUUAACAACUAAGUAAAUGGGUCGGAAUGUCCAUCUAUCCAUCCAUCAAAAGUAGAUAUCUACAUGUUAGUGAAACUUAAUACAUUAUAGAUGGAUAUAUCUCAUUGGGGAGAAAUGAUGUGUUGAAUUUGUAUGCCCCCCUUUGAAGGAGGGGGGGGGGUAUAUUGUUUUGCUAAUGUCAGUCCGUCGGUAGACCACAUGGUUUCCACUAAUUAUCUUGAAAACUAUUUAUCAUAUAGUCUUAAUAUUUCACAUAAUGAUUGGUCAUAACUAGUAGAUGACCCAUAUUGAUUUUGGGUUCACUAGGUCAAAGGUCAAGGUCACAGGAGCCUUAAAUGUCAGAAUAGUUUCUGCU